rnacentral:ncRNA from 3 species
UUUGUGACCUGGUCCACUAACCCU